AAGCAUAUCAAUAAGCGGAGGAAAAGAAAGCAACAGGGAUUGCCCUAGUAACGGCGAGUGAAGCGGCAACAGCUCAAAUUUGAAAUCUGGCGCAAGCCCGAGUUGUAAUUUGUAGAGGAUGCUUCUGGGCAGCGGCCGUUCUAAGUUCCUUGGAACAGGACGUCAUAGAGGGUGAGAAUCCCGUAUGUGACCGGCGCGCACCCUCCACGUAGCUCCUUCGACGAGUCGAGUUGUUUGGGAAUGCAGCUCUAAAUGGGAGGUAAAUUUCUUCUAAAGCUAAAUACCGGCCAGAGACCGAUAGCGCACAAGUAGAGUGAUCGAAAGAUGAAAAGCACUUUGGAAAGAGAGUUAAAAAGCACGUGAAAUUGUUGAAAGGGAAGCGCUUGCAACCAGACUUCGCGGCGGUGUUCCGCCGGUCUUUUGACCGGUCUACUCGCCGCCGCGAGGCCAACAUCGUCUGGGGCCGCCGGAUAAGACCAUGGGAAUGUGGCUCCCUCGGGAGUGUUAUAGCCCACGGUGAUGCGGCGUGUCCCGGGCGAGGUCCGCGCUUCGGCAAGGAUGUUGGCGUAAUGGUUGCCAGCGGCCCGUCUUGAAACACGGACCAAGGAGUCUAACAUCUAUGCGAGUGUUCGGGUGUCAAACCCCUACGCGUAAUGAAAGUGAACGGAGGUGGGAGCUUCGGCGCACCAUCGACCGAUCCUGAUGUCCUCGGAUGGAUUUGAGUAAGAGCAUAGCUGUUGGGACCCGAAAGAUGGUGAACUAUGCCUGAAUAGGGUGAAGCCAGAGGAAACUCUGGUGGAGGCUCGCAGCGGUUCUGACGUGCAAAUCGAUCGUCAAAUUUGGGUAUAGGGGCGAAAGACUAAUCGAACCAUUCUAGUAGCUGGGUUCCUGCCGA
rnacentral:rRNA from 1 species